GGAAUUUCUAGUUCACGCAGAAUGAAGACAAGAUCACAUAAGUGAGGACGACGCCCCAUUUACAAGUGUGGUUUGGAAGACUGAAGUGGAAACCUUGGGAAGGGGCCUCAGAGUAUGUCAGCUGGGGUCAGACGGGAACAGGAGUCUGGCUCAACACACAUUUAUUGCACUCCUGCUUCAUGCCAAGAAAUGCACCAAAAUCUGGGACUGUGUAACACAGCAAAGGAAAAGACUCAUCUCCAGGAAGCCCCCUUGUCUAGGAAGAGAAAUUGAAUAUCAGCAUAAGGUGGUGAAAAGCUAUGAAGGAGAUGAGUGCCACGAGUCCAUGGAGGAAGGAUUCUAGCCUGGACAGGUGAUUGUGGUGAAUAGUCAUGAGAAUCUGGGAACUGGCUCCUGCUCUGUCUAUCUUGGAGAUGCAUCUUUUGUGAGAGGACAGGGCAAGAAUAGGGAGGCUUAGGCAAUGGGGAGUUUCUGAGUAGAUAAAGCAGAUGGCAGAGCAAAGGGACAGAGCCUGGCGAGAGGCUACUCCCUGUAGCAACCUGCCUAAGAGUGAGAGGAAAGCAAGGCAUGGCUAUGAGCACAUGUAGUCUCAGCUACCUGGGAAGCUGAGGCUGGGAGAUCACCUGAGCCCGGGAGUUCAAGACCAGCCUAGGCAACAUAGUGAGACCAUGUCUCUUUAAAAAAAAAAAAAAGGGAGAGAGAGAGAAAAAAGGUGACAAUUCCCCCAAAACACAUCAAGUACAUAAAAGUUAACAAGGACACAGUGGCAGAAAAUAGUCAGAACUGAGCAAGCAUCAGUGAGGAAAUGCUUUCCAGAGGAGACUUGAGAAGUCUCAAAAAUGAAAAGAAAGAGUAUUUGGUGUAGAAAGAAUGGCAUGAGAUGUGAAAGCUCAUUCAUCCAUUUAUUCCAGGUAUAUCUUUUUCUUCAGUACUUUGGGAGGCAAUAGGUGUAAUAGCAAGAACAUUCAGGUUAGUGGGUUAGUGUGAGUCUGCCAUAUGUAUGAGGGUUGAAUACACAUUAGGUGUGGUAACUAUCAUAUGGGAGGCACUGCAAGGUGAAGGAGACAUGUCCUCACAUUUGGUCUUUGGGAGGCGAAGCAGGCAGAAACCCAGGUGCAAAGUGGCCAGGGUUUUCCUAAUGCUAGAUAAGUACCUGAUGUGUUGGAAGGGUGGAGUAGAACUAGAAACUCCUGGAAUUUCUUUUAAGAACAAAUGCAGGACCUCAUCAGCCCGAGUCUUUAAAUAAGUCAUACAUUUUUGGUCACCACAUUCUGGAAGGGGGACAAAAAGAUCUGUCGCAGACAAAAUUUGGAGAUAUUUAAGGCUUUGAUGACUUUGGCAAAUGCUUGGUUAUAGUUCUGUGGUCUGUUUGUUUUCUAGAGUCUCCAUGAAUUGCAAGGGAAAACAAGUGGUACACUGGCAUUUCUAUUUGAUAACCUGUUCUCUUUGGAAUUCCGGUUAGAAAUCAAAGGCUUACUUGAGUUUUAAUGCUUGCAGGACUUCAAAUGCUUUUCUAUCUUCCUAAUAAUAUAUUAACAUUUUCUGAAGACAACAUAUAUCUGGAAAACAACAUUAUUUACUCAAAUAAUUUUUUUUGAAAAAU
rnacentral:lncRNA from 1 species